AUUGAACGCUGGCGGCAGGCUUUACACAUGCAAGUCGAACGAGUGGCGGACGGGUGAGUAAUGCAUGGGAAUCUGGCUAAUGGAGGGGGAUAACGACGGGAAACUGUCGCUAAUACCGCUUACUGUGGGAGCGGCCCCAGUGGGAGUAGGUAGUUGGUGGGGUAAGGGCCCACCAAGGCGACGAUCCCUAGCUGGUCUGAGAGGCAGACCGGCCACACCGGGACGGAGACACGGCCCGGACUCCUACGGGAGGCAGCAGUGGGGAAUAUUGCGCAAUGGGGGAAACCUGACGCAGCCAUGCCGCGUGAAUGAAGAAGGCCUUCGGGUUGUAAAGGUCUUUCGUUGAAGAGGCGUUACCUACAGAAUAAGCACCGGCUAACUACGUGCCAGCAGCCGCGGUAAUUC
rnacentral:rRNA from 1 species